GACGACGCUGGCGGCGUGGAUUAGGCAUGCAAGUUGAAUGGUAUUAUCCGUUUCGGGGGUGAGAGAGUGGCGAACUGGUGAGUAACACGUAGGUUAUCUACCCUCAAGACGGGGACAACCUAGGGAAACUUGGGCUAAUACCGGAUGUGAGCAACUUUUAGUUGUUUGAAAGGUGGCGUAAGCUGUCGCUUGGGGAUGAGCCUGCGUCCUAUUAGUUAGUUGGUGAGGUAACGGCUCACCUAGGCAAUGAUAGGUAGGCGGCCUUAACGGGUGGUCGCCCACACUGGGAUUGAGAUACGGCCCAGACUCCUAUGGGAGGCAGCAGUCGAGAAUAGUCUACAAUGGUCGGAAGACUGAUAGUGCGACGCCGCGUGAACGAUGAAUCCCUUCGGGGUGUAAAGUUCUUUUAUAUGUGAGCAGUGCUUCUUAUAUUAACAGUAUGGGGAGAGAGAUAUUAGCAUAUGAAUAAGCAAUGGCUAACUCCGUG
rnacentral:rRNA from 1 species